UAAGAGAGCUACCUGUCGAAGAUGACGAUGAUGACGAAGAUCACCGGUAUGCUUCCGAUCCACUUUUGAGCGCCUAUCUUCUUCUUCUCUUAAUGCCGAGAUGCUCCUUCCGUAUCUGAAGCGUGUGAGUGAUGAUGACCGUCGAACCUUGAAGCUUCCGGUGGUGGUUUAGCUCUGCCGUGUAGAGCUUCGAGUGAUGAAACAUUCUCUUAAUGCCGAGAUGCUCCUUCCGUAUCUGAAGCGUGUGAGUGAUGAUGACCGUCGAACCUUGAAGCUUCCGGUGGUGGUUUAGCUCUGCCGUGUAGAGCUUCGAGUGAUGAAACUCUCACAGUAAUGGGAAUGAACGUGUGCUAGGGGUUGGGAGUGAUUACAAGAUUCUUUGUGGAUUGAGGAAAAAUCUUCUAAACCUAAUGAUUGGCAAUGAUUGCCUCUUAUAUAGCGUGAUCCAAGAGGGCAAUUUGGAGAAUUAAGUCUGAAUGGUUAAAUCUGAAUCGUCCAGCUGGCAUCUAAGUGAAGGUGAGCUUUAAAUCAUUAAAUCACGUGGGAUUUGCCACAAAUUCAAUUCUCUAAUCCAUUUGCUUCCAAUUCUUUGAUCCAACUGUGGAUAUCCAUAUUGAACCAAACUAGUUUAUAUUCAAUAACUGGAUUGUUGCUUGAAUAAUCACUGAUUUGAAUUGGACUGUUAUUUGGAUGAUUGCU
rnacentral:lncRNA from 1 species